AUAGCUGUUUAGGUUUCCUUAAUCUUCAAGAAUAGUCACAAAUAUCAUAAGGCAAAGUUCAUUGUUUUAGGGUUUUUUAAAAAUGUGUUGUACCUAAGGCCAUACUUACUCUUCUAUGCUAUCACUGCGAAGGAGUGAUAUGUAUGUAUUAUAUGAAAAAAAAUCCUUAAUGCACUGUUAUCUCCUUUGUACGACUUUAGACAUGACUGUGUAUGCUUUGCCACGCCCUGUGAGGUGUGCAUUGAAAGCCGGCUGCCCCCAGCGGGGCCUGCUCCCCGGGUGCAGGACAAGCUUGCAGCUUUGGAGCCAAGUGUUUCUCGCUUUUGAGUUUUCCUGACAUCCUUCUUGAAAUGACUGUUAGAAAUGAAUUACAUUGCAUUUAUUUUAUAUUCUUGGUUGUAAUAAAAUUUAAUUGACUUUGUG
rnacentral:lncRNA from 1 species